rnacentral:rRNA from 2 species
GGUUAAGUUAGAAAGGGCGCACGGUGGAUGCCUUGGCACUAGGAGCCGAUGAAGGACGGGACUAACACCGAUAUGCUUCGGGGAGCUGUAAGUAAGCUUUGAUCCGGAGAUUUCCGAAUGGGGAAACCCACUGUUCGUAAUGGAACAGUAUCUGUACCUGAAUACAUAGGGUACUGAAGGCAGACCCGGGGAACUGAAACAUCUAAGUACCCGGAGGAAGAGAAAGCAAACGCGAUUUCCUGAGUAGCGGCGAGCGAAACGGAAUUAGCCCAAACCAAGAGGCUUGCCUCUUGGGGUUGUAGGACACUCAACAUGGAGUUACAAAGGAACGGGGUAAAUGAAGAGAUCUGGAAAGGUCCGUCAGAGAAGGUAAAAACCCUGUAGUUGAAACUUCGUUCCCUCCUGAGUGGAUCCUGAGUACGGCGGGACACGUGAAAUCCCGUCGGAAGCAGGGAGGACCAUCUCCCAAGGCUAAAUACUCCCUAGUGACCGAUAGUGAACCAGUACCGUGAGGGAAAGGUGAAAAGCACCCCGGAAGGGGAGUGAAAGAGAACCUGAAACCGUGUGCCUACAAGUAGUCAGAGCCCGUUCAUGGGUGAUGGCGUGCCUUUUGUAGAAUGAACCGGCGAGUUACGAUUUCAUGCAAGGUUAAGUUGAUGAGACGGAGCCGCAGCGAAAGCGAGUCUGAAUAGGGCGAAUGAGUAUGAGGUCGUAGACCCGAAACCAGGUGAUCUACCCAUGUCCAGGGUGAAGUUCAGGUAACACUGAAUGGAGGCCCGAACCCACGCACGUUGAAAAGUGCGGGGAUGAGGUGUGGGUAGCGGAGAAAUUCCAAUCGAACUUGGAGAUAGCUGGUUCUCUCCGAAAUAGCUUUAGGGCUAGCCUCGAGAUUGAGAGUAUUGGAGGUAGAGCACUGAUUGGACUAGGGGCCCCCAUCGGGUUACCGAAUUCAGUCAAACUCCGAAUGCCAAAUACUUAUACUCGGGAGUCAGACUGCGAGUGAUAAGAUCCGUAGUCAAAAGGGAAACAGCCCAGACCACCAGCUAAGGUCCCAAAGUUUAUGUUAAGUGGAAAAGGAUGUGGAGUUGCUUAGACAACCAGGAUGUUGGCUUAGAAGCAGCCACCAUUUAAAGAGUGCGUAAUAGCUCACUGGUCGAGUGACUCCGCGCCGAAAAUGUACCGGGGCUAAACAUAACACCGAAGCUGUGGAUGGACAUCUGCGAUGUCCGUGGUAGGAGAGCGUUCUAAGGGCGUUGAAGCUAGACCGGAAGGACUGGUGGAGCGCUUAGAAGUGAGAAUGCCGGUAUGAGUAGCGAAAGAAGGGUGAGAAUCCCUUCCACCGAAUAUCUAAGGUUUCCUGAGGAAGGCUCGUCCGCUCAGGGUUAGUCGGGACCUAAGCCGAGGCUGAAAAGCGUAGGCGAUGGACAACAGGUUGAUAUUCCUGUACCACCUAUACAUCGUUUGAGCGAUGGGGGGACGCAGGAGGAUAGGGUAAGCGCGCUGUUGGAUAUGCGCGUCCAAGCAGUUAGGC